GUGGGGAAUCUUCCGCAAUGGACGAAAGUCUGACGGAGCAACGCCGCGUGAGUGAAGAAGGUUUUCGGAUCGUAAAGCUCUUUCGUUAGGGACGAACGUGCUCUUUGUGAAUAAUGAGGAGUAAUGACGGUACCUAAAUAAGAAGCCACGGCUAACUACGUGUCAGCAGCCGCGGUAAUACGUAGGUGGCAAGCGUUGUCCGGAAUUAUUGGGCGUAAAGCGCGCGCAGGCGGGAUAUCAAGUCUGUCUUAAAAGUGCGAGGCUCAACCUCGUGAGGGGACAGAAACUGGUAUUCUUGAGUGUCGGAGAGGAAAGUGGAAUUCCAAGUGUAGCGGUGAAAUGCGUAGAGAUUUGGAAGAACACCAGUGGCGAAGGCGACUUUCUGGACGAUGUCUGACGCUGAGGCGCGAAAGCUAGGGGAGCGAACGGGAUUAGAUACCCCUGUAGUCC
rnacentral:rRNA from 1 species